CUCCUACGGGAGGCAGCAGUAGGGAAUCUUCCACAAUGGACGCAAGUCUGAUGGAGCAACGCCGCGUGAGUGAAGAAGGUUUUCGGAUCGUAAAGCUCUGUUGUUGGUGAAGAAAGAUAGUGAGAGUAACUGCUCAUUAUUUGCCGGUAAUCGCCAGAAAGUCGCGGCUAACUACGUGCCAGCGCCGCGGUAAUCGA
rnacentral:rRNA from 1 species